rnacentral:rRNA from 1 species
UCGAUGGUAGUGUAUUGGACUGCCAUGGCUUUAACGGGUAACGGAGAAUUAGGGUUCGAUUCCGGAGAGGGAGCCUGAGAAACGGCUACCACAUCUAAGGAAGGCAGCAGGCGCGUAAAUUACCCAAUCCUGAUUCAGGGAGGUAGUGACAAGAAAUAACAACGUAGGGCUUCAUUGUCUUGCGAUUGUAAUGGGUACAAUUUAAAACCCUUAACGAGUAACAAUUGGAGGGCAAGUCUGGUGCCAGCAGCCGCGGUAAUUCCAGCUCCAAUAGCGUAUAUUAAAGUUGUUGCAGUUAAAAAGCUCGUAGUUGGAUUUCUGAAGAAGUUUGUUGCGGGCCCUAUGGGUGCGCGAUUAAAGGUUCUUCAUCCUUCUGUUAACGAUUGGUGGCAUUGAGUUGCUGGUUUCGGGCACAGAUAUUUUACUUUGAGAAAAUUAGAGUGUUUCAGGCAGGCUUGUUGCCUAAAUAUAUUAGCAUGGAAUAAUAGAAUAGGACUUUGACUCUAUUUGUUGGUUUAGAGUAUAAAGUAAUGAUUAAUAGGGACAGUUGGGGGCAUUAGUAUUUAAUUGUCAGAGGUGAAAUUCUUGGAUUUAUUAAAGACUAACUUAUGCGAAAGCAUUUGCCAAGGAUGUUUUCAUUAAUCAAGAACGAAAGUUAGGGGAUCAAAGACGAUCAGAUACCGUCCUAGUCUUAACUAUAAACUAUGCCGACUAGGGAUUGGAGGAGCAACCAAUACUCCUUCAGCACCUUACGAGAAAUCAAAGUCUUUAGGUUCUGGGGGGAGUAUGGUCGCAAGGCUGAAACUUAAAGAGAUUGACGGAAGGGCACACCAGGAGUGGAUUUUGCGGCUUAAUUUGACCCAACACGGGAAAACUUACCAGGUCCAAACAUUGGAAGGAUUGACAGAUUGAUAGCUCUUUCUUGAUUCGAUGAUUGGUGGUGCAUGGCCGUUCUUAGUUGGUGGAGUGAUUUGUCUGGUUAAUUCCGUUAACGAACGAGACCUUAACCUGCUAAAUAGUAUUGUUGGCCCCGGCCUUCAAAUACUUCUUAGAGGGACUUUGUGUGCAAACACAAGGAAGUUUCAGGCAAUAACAGGUCUGUGAUGCCCUUAGAUGUCCUGGGCCGCACGCGUAAUACACUGAUGCAGUUAACAAGUCUCCUGCUCCGAAAGGUAGUAGGCAAUCUCUAAUCUGCAUCGUGAUGGGGAUAGAUCUUUGUAAUUAUAGAUCUUGAACGAGGAAUUCCUAGUAAGCGUAAGUCAUUAGCUUACGCUGAUUAAGUCCCUGCCCUUUGUACACACCGCCCGUCGCUCCUACCGAUUUCGAGUGAUCCGGUGAACAUUUUGGACUGACCAGGCAACUGGUUAGGAAAUCAAGUAAACCUUAUCACUUAGAGGAAGGAGAAGUCGUAACAAGGUU